GAUAGUGAUAGGUACAUGCUACUAUUCUCUCUCUUUUCCAUAGUUUUUAUCAUCAUAGCUGCCACUAUUGGUACUAUUUUGUUAAUACUAAUGGUAGGAGUUGCUGUGAGCAUGGUGUACUUAUAUGCACAUAUGAUACAUAACAAAAAAGUUAUAGGUAAAUCAAAUACUUCCUUAACUACACAAGAUACGCCAUCUGCACAUGAUGAAACAUAAAGAAGAAUUAGACUCUUUUUAUUAGUUUAAUGAUGAUGAUAAUUAUUAUUCAUGAA